rnacentral:rRNA from 1 species
AAAACUUCGAGAUCUAAUCCAGAGUACCACGAGACACGUGAAACCUUGUGGGAAGCAGGGAGGACCACCUCCCAAGGCUAAAUACUACCUAGUGACCGAUAGUGAAGCAGUACCGUGAGGGAAAGGUGAAAAAGAACCCCGGAAGGGGGAGUGAAAUAGAACCUGAAACCGUGUGCCUACAACCGAUCGGAGCACGUUAAAGUGUGACGAUGUGCUUUUUUGUAGAACGAGCCAGCGAGUUACGCUAUGUAGCAAGGUUAAGUACUUAAGGUAUGGAGCCGAAGGGAAACCGAGUCUGAAAAGGGCGAAAAGUUGCAUGGUGUAGACCCGAAACCGGGUGACCUAUCCAUGGCCAGGUUGAAGCGAGAGUAAAAUCUCGUGGAGGACCGAACCACGUUGGUGUUGAAAAACCAUGGGAUGAGCUGUGGAUAGCGGAGAAAUUCCAAUCGAACUCGGAGAUAGCUGGUUCUCCUCGAAAUAGCUUUAGGGCUAGCGUCGUGUAAUU